rnacentral:rRNA from 1 species
UACGAAGGGGGCUAGCGUUGCUCGGAAUCACUGGGCGUAAAGCGCACGUAGGCGGCUUAGCAAGUCGGAAGUGAAAUCCCACGGCUCAACCAUGGAAGUGCUUUCGAAACUGCUGAGCUUGAGUACGAAAGAGGGUCGCGGAAUUCCCGGUGUAGAGGUGAAAUUCGUAGAUAUCAAGCGGAACACCGGUGGCGAAGGCGGCCUUCUGGACAGUGACUGACGCUGAGAUGCGAAAGCGUGGGGAGCAAACAGG